GGGCUGCGGAUGGAUCAUUUU
rnacentral:misc_RNA from 1 species